rnacentral:lncRNA from 1 species
CGGGGAUUCCCAGUCCUGGCUCCGCCCCGGCCUCGGCCCCGCCCCCGCCCCUGCCCCGGGGCAGCCUGUGCUGUUCCGUGUGCGCGGCGCAUACGCACCUGGGUUGUCUCGAGCCUGCGGUAGUGGCCAGAUCCCAGACAUCCGAGUAGAUCCCGUGAAAAGGUCUCCCACGUGGGCUGUGGACAGGGCCCAAGGGUAGCAGAGCUAGCAGAGGCAGUGACGGACUGUGUGGCAGCUUCUUCUUGGUUUCUUCGUACAUUCUGGAUCCACCCCUUUCAUGCAUAUUCCAGACCACAUUUCCACUGGAGCAGUUGAAAUGAGAGAGAUGGGAAUGGGACUCACCCGAACCAGAGGAAUUUUUAUUACAGACCCAUUAACAGAGGUGUCAAAGUCACAGGAACAAGGAUGUGCACCUCAGAAACACAGAGGUCAGUGGAAAAUCAGUUUGCUUCUAUUUGUUUAAAAAAUGGGGGACUUAUGCAUAAAUCUAAGACCUUCUUGAAUCUAACAUUCUAAGACCUGUAUGCCACAGAAAGGAGGGUCUCAGAACGCCGGAGGAUAGUAUUUAAAUCUUAAAUAUCUAUAUUGUUCUCCACAGUUACUGGGUCACCACAUAGCAGGCAUUCAAUAAAAA